rnacentral:rRNA from 1 species
AGAGUUUGAUCCUGGCUCAGGAUGAACGCUAGCGGCAGGCUUAAUACAUGCAAGUCGAGGGGCAUCGGGGGUAGCAAUACCUGCCGGCGACCGGCAAACGGGUGCGGAACACGUACACAACCUUCCUUUAAGUGGGGGAUAGCCCAGAGAAAUUUGGAUUAAUACCCCGUAACAUUUCUGAGUGGCAUCAUUUGGGAAUUAAAGCUACGGCGCUUGGAGAUGGGUGUGCGUCUGAUUAGGUAGUUGGUAGAGGUAACGGCUCACCAAGCCUUCGAUCAGUAACUGGUGUGAGAGCACGACCAGUCACACGGGCACUGAGACACGGGCCCGACUCCUACGGGAGGCAGCAGUAAGGAAUAUUGGUCAAUGGACGCAAGUCUGAACCAGCCAUGCCGCGUGGAGGAUGAAGGUCCUCUGGAUUGUAAACUUCUUUUAUCUGGGAAGAAAUGCAUUUUUUCUAAAGUGUUUGACGGUACCAGAAGAAUAAGCACCGGCUAACUCCGUGCCAGCAGCCGCGGUAAUACGGAGGGUGCAAGCGUUAUCCGGAUUCACUGGGUUUAAAGGGUGCGUAGGUGGGCAUUUAAGUCAGUGGUGAAAUCUCCGGGCUUAACCCGGAAACUGCCAUUGAUACUAUAUGUCUUGAAUACCGUGGAGGUGAGCGGAAUAUGUCAUGUAGCGGUGAAAUGCUUAGAUAUGACAUAGAACACCAAUUGCGAAGGCAGCUCACUACACGGACUAUUGACACUGAGGCACGAAAGCGUGGGGAUCAAACAGGAUUAGAUACCCCCGUAGUCC